AAUGCAGGUUUAAUAUAGUGAACACUAAAAUAAUUGUAAUGUCCCGAGACAUGACGUUAAACUGCGCUCCUCUUUUUUGGCUUUUUUGGAGCUUAAAAGAGCCUUUCUUCUAUUCCAUCAUGAUGUCUGCUUCCUCUCUAAAUGUAAUAUUAGCUAAUAUGUUAGCAUAAUAAAAACUAGUAAAUAUAAGUAGGUUUAAAGUAGAAAUUAACUAAAAUUUAAAACUAAAUGUAGUAUUAACUUACACAUAAAUGUAGUAGAAAUAAAACACAGAUUCAAACUAAAAUGUUAGCAUAAUAUAAAACUAGUAAAUAAAUGCAGGUUUAAUAUAGUGAACACUAAAAUAAUUGUAAUGUCCCGAGACAUGACGUUAAACUGCGCUCCUCUUUUUUGGCUUUUUUGGAGCUUAAAAGAGCCUUUCUUCUAUUCCAUCAUGAUGUCUGCUUCCUCUCUAAAUGUAAUAUUAGCUAAUAUGUUAGCAUAAUAAAAACUAGUAAAUAUAAGUAGGUUUAAAGUAAAAAUUAACUAAAAUUUAAAACUAAAUGUAGUAUUAACUUACACAUAAAUGUAGUAGAAAUAAAACACAGAUUCAAACUAAAAUAUUAGCAUAAUAUAAAACUAAAAAAUAUAAGUAGUUUGAAAGUAGACAUUAACAAUUUAAACUUUAAAACUGAAUGUAGUUUAACUUACACCUAAAUGUAGUAGAAUUAAAAUCUUUAUAGCCUGUAACCUAACUACAUUGUCAUUGUUUUGCUGUCAACAAUGCCUUUGUUUGCUUAGGUUGUAAACAGUAGUUAGUUUAUAAAUCUAAUUUAAAAAAAUGUCUAAAUGCUAGCACUAAUUUAAUAGAUAUUCUAAUUAAAAAAAAAAAAUAAAAUCAUAACUACUGUAGUAGAAUUAAAAUAAAAGAUUUAAACUAAUAUGUUAGCAUAAUAAAAACUAGUAAAUAUAAGUAGGUUUAAAGUAGAAAUUAACUAAAAUUUAAAACUAAAUGUAGUAUAAACUUACAGAUAAAUGUAGUAG